ensembl:snRNA U2 U2 spliceosomal RNA
AUCGCUUCUCAGCCCUUGACUAAAAUCAAGUGUAUCUGUUCUUAUCAGUUUAAUAUCUGAUAUGUCCUCUAUCUGAGGACAAUGCAUUAAAUGGAUUUUUGGAGCUGGAAGAUGGAAUAGGAGCUUGCUUCUCCACUCCACUCAUCGACCUGGUAUUGCAGUACCUCUAGAAAUGGUGCAACAAAA